GAUGAACGCUGGCGGCGUGCCUAAUACAUGCAAGUCGAGCGAACAGACGAGGAGCUUGCUCCUCUGACGUUAGCGGCGGACGGGUGAGUAACACGUGGAUAACCUACCUAUAAGACUGGGAUAACUUCGGGAAACCGGAGCUAAUACCGGAUAAUAUAUUGAACCGCAUGGUUCAAUAGUGAAAGACGGUUUUGCUGUCACUUAUAGAUGGAUCCGCGCCGCAUUAGCUAGUUGGUAAGGUAACGGCUUACCAAGGCAACGAUGCGUAGCCGACCUGAGAGGGUGAUCGGCCACACUGGAACUGGGACACGGUCCAGACUCCUACGGGAGGAAGCAGUAGGGAAUCUUCCGCAAUGGGCGAAAGCUUGACGGAGCAACGCCGCGUGAGUGAUGAAGGUCUUCGGAUCGUAAAACUCUGUUAUUAGGGAAGAACAAAUGUGUAAGUAACUAUGCACGUCUUGACGGUACCUAAUCAGAAAGCCACGGCUAACUACGUG
rnacentral:rRNA from 1 species